GACGAACGCUGGCGGCGUGCUUAACACAUGCAAGUCGAACGGAAAGGCUCCUGCUUGCUGGGGUACUCGAGUGGCGAACGGGUGAGUAACACGUGGGUGAUCUGCCUUGUACUCUGGGAUAAGCUUGGGAAACUGGGUCUAAUACCGGAUAAUAACUGCCUUUAGUGUGGGGGUGGGAAAGUUUUUUCGGUGCAAGAUGAGCUCGCGGCCUAUCAGCUUGUUGGUGGGGUAAUGGCCUACCAAGGCGUCGGCGGGUAGCCGGGCUGGGAGGGUGUACGGCCACCUUGGGACUGGGAUUCGGCCCCGGCUCCCACGGGGGGCAACCGUUGGGAAUAUUGCACCAUGGGCGGGAGCCUGAUGCAGCGAAGCCGCGGGGGGGAUGACGGGCUUCGGGUUGGAAACUCCCUUCGACAGGGACGAAGCUGUUUGUGACGGUACCUGGAUAAGAAGCACCGGCUAACUACGUG
rnacentral:rRNA from 1 species